rnacentral:rRNA from 1 species
CCUACGGGUGGCUGCAGUGGGGAAUAUUGGACAAUGGGCGAAAGCCUGAUCCAGCCAUGCCGCGUGUGUGAAGAAGGCCCUAGGGUUGUAAAGCACUUUAAUUAGGGAGGAAGGCUUUAAAGCUAAUAAUUUUAAAGUUUGACGUUACCUAAAGAAUAAGCACCGGCUAACUCCGUGCCAGCAGCCGCGGUAAUACGGAGGGUGCAAGCGUUAAUCGGAAUUACUGGGCGUAAAGCGCGCGUAGGCGGCUUAUUAAGUUGGAUGUGAAAGCCCCGGGCUCAACCUGGGAAUGGCCUCCAAGACUGGUAAGCUAGAGUGCAGAAGAGGGUGGUGGAAUUUCUAGUGUAGCGGUGAAAUGCGUAGAUAUUAGAAGGAACAUCAGUGGCGAAGGCGACCACCUGGUUUGACACUGACGCUGAGGUGCGAAAGCAUGGGGAGCAAACAGGCUUAGAUACCCGGGUAGUC